rnacentral:lncRNA from 1 species
AUAGUUCCAGACACAUAGAAGCACUGUCGACGCCCGGAAGAGGCUAGCUAGCUUCACACAAUCUGGCCUCGGCAUGUUCUGCCAGCUCGGGGGGAACCACAUCUGUCAGGGAGCCAGUGGGAUGUACACACACCAAGGCUCUGAGAGAGCUUCUCUGACAUCUGACGCAUGUCCACAACCUCACUAUCCUGGAUCCAUAUGCAGAAAACCCAUCAUGAAGACAGAGCCACAAAAUGAUCGACUAUGAGAUUGGAGAAAGAGAUGAGCAAGAAUGGUGACCUCGUGGAU